GUGUUACCCUUUAAAUCACCACCUCAUUUACUGCUGGUCAAACCUCUGGGUGAAGCACAGCUGUAUCAGACGCAGUGAUGGUGAAGACGGCGGCUGCUGUACUGUCGGCACUGCUGCUGUGUGUGGGGGGCGCACUAGCGCAGGACUUCAUGUCGCCGAACAUGAACAUUAUGGAAGAACUGGGGAAACUGAAGAACAUGGAAGAACGACUGAGAACUGUGGAAGAACAACUGAGAACAAUGGAGGGGAAAAUGCAGAACCAGAACACAUUAGUAGAGGAGCUGAAGAAGGAGAAUGGAGCUCUGAAGACGACGGUGGAAACGAUGCAGGCUACACUGGAAUCACUGCAGAGCAGUAAACCAGGAUCUUCUGACGUUCCCAGCACGGCAGCAAUUUUCCGCGUCAGGCAUUGUGGAGAUUUACCCAUUAUUGAACACGGAGAUGUUACGAAGGCUCCAGAUGGGCUGGCAUUAACAGUGAGGUGCGCUUAUCUUUACAAACUUGACGGACCAGCAGAAGUAAAGUGUGUUGACAGGAAAUGGACACAGCUGCCUGCUUGUAAAGCUCCAUGUAAACUGGAUCAGUCAAAGUUUUAUUUUUCUCAAAGAGAGUACAUGCUGCACGGAGAAGAGGAAGGGCUUUUUUGUACUGCCUUUUCCAGAGUACAGGUCAAAUGUGAGAACGGAAAAGCGCUCUAUAGAGGAUGUGGUGAUAAAGACUGGUGAGAUGUGUGUGAACGUCUUCCUGCUGCAGCUUUUACUGAAACACACAAAACUGCAGAGCGACUGGAACGACCUGUAACUGCUGUACCUUUAAGCGUUACUGUAACGUUUCUCAGAACGUCUGAUUAAAAAUAGAUCCUGAAUAAACAACUGUGGACAACUGUGGUUCUUUCUUCUCAUCAUAGCAUGUUUCCUGUGUGAUCUUUAAUGGUUCUGAUGUUUUACACUUGCAGUGGAAGAAUCAUAUUUAUUAUUAUUAUAAUGUCUGACGGAUCAAAAUGGUUACGGUAGGAUAUUUUGGCAAUGCAGCACAAUUAGUC
ensembl:lncRNA